rnacentral:rRNA from 1 species
UGGGGAAUAUUGGACAAUGGGCGCAAGCCUGAUCCAGCAAUGCCGCGUGGGUGAAGAAGGCCUGCGGGUUGUAAAGCCCUUUUAGUGAGAAAGAAGGUUCAAGCGAUAAUACCGUUUGGAAUUGACGUUACUCACAGAAAAAGCACCGGCUAACUCCGUGCCAGCAGCCGCGGUAAUACGGGGGGUGCAAGCGUUAAUCGGAAUUACUGGGCGUAAAGCGUGCGUAGGCGGUUUGGUCAGUCAGCCGUGAAAUCCCUGGGCUUAACCUGGGAAUGGCGGUUGAGACGGCCAGACUAGAGGGGGCUAGAGGAUCGUGGAAUUCCUGGUGUAGCGGUGAAAUGCGUAGAGAUCAGGAAGAACACCGAUGGCGAAGGCAGCGGUCUGGGGCCUUACUGACGCU